rnacentral:lncRNA from 1 species
GCGGCGGGUCAGGUUUCCGACGACUCUCAGCAGAGCGUGCUAAUUGAGCCUGAGCCUGAGCCUGAGCGGCGACGACCGCAAGAAGACGCUCCCGGAGACAAGUGGCGCAGACGCCGACGCUGCUACUGAGGUCAGUUAAAUGUUCCUUACACCUCAUUUACUUAAAAACGAAAUACCCUUAGCUUAUUAACUUGUCUUCUGUGAUAUCAUCUAUAAAGAGAAAAUGUUGAUUGCAUGAGUGGGCUGUUGCUGUAAAACGAAGGAAGGUACCUGAUGAAGAAAUAAAAAAAGGGAAAACAGUGUCCUUUUCUCAGUGUUAGUGAAACAGAGAGAGAAAGCUUGCUGUUUGGGGUUUCACGUAAGAGAAAAGAAGAGUAAAUGUUGGGUUGUUCUUCGUAUUUGGUAUCUAUCUCUGUC